rnacentral:tRNA from 1 species
AGGCCAGUAGCUCAAUUAGGCAGAGCGCUGCUCUCCAAAAGCAGAGGUUGUAGGUUCGAUUCCUGUCUGGCCUG